rnacentral:rRNA from 1 species
AGAACGAACGCUGGCGGCAUGCCUAAUACAUGCAAGUCGAACGAACACUUCGGUGUUAGUGGCGCACGGGUGCGUAACGCGUGGGAAUCUGCCCUUGGGUUCGGAAUAACAGUUGGAAACGACUGCUAAUACCGGAUGAUAUCGAAAGAUCAAAGAUUUAUCGCCCAGGGAUGAGCCCGCGUAGGAUUAGCUAGUCGGUGAGGUAAAGGCUCACCAAGGCGACGAUCCUUAGCUGGUCUGAGAGGAUGAUCAGCCACACUGGGACUGAGACACGGCCCAGACUCCUACGGGAGGCAGCAGUAGGGAAUA